rnacentral:rRNA from 1 species
AAUCAACGCUGGCGGCGUGCCUCAGACAUGCAAGUCGAACGCGAAAUUUCCCUUCGGGGAGAAAGUAGAGUGGCGCACGGGUGAGUAACACGUAGGUAAUUUGCCUUUGGGUGGGGAAUAACUCAGGGAAACUUGAGCUAAUACCGCAUAAUGCAGCGGCUCGACAUCGAGACAGUUGUUAAAGCGGGGGAUUGGAGCAAUCCGACCUCGCGCCUAAAGAGAAGCCUGCGGCAGAUUAGCUAGUUGGUAAGGUAAUGGCUUACCAAGGCGACGAUCUGUAACCGGCCUGAGAGGGCGGUCGGUCACACUGACACUGACAUACGGGUCAGACUCCUACGGGAGGCAGCAGUCGGGAAUUUUGGGCAAUGGGCGCAAGCCUGACCCAGCAACGCCGCGUGAAGGAUGAAAUUUUUCGGAAUGUAAACUUCGCAAGAACAGG